UCAGGACUACACUCCCUGCUGCCUCCUGCAAUCACCAGUAUACAGAGUGGAAGAUCUCUUUAUUACUGCAGAUUCACUUUUGGGUAUGAAGCAAUGACUCCCCUCACUCACUCCAGCGUCUGUCAAAUGGUCACCUCUCAGGUGUACAGGCUGGUCGGUACCUUUGGGCAUUGACUAAGUACAAGUUUAUUUCCUCAAACUGAAUGCUCAGCAGCAUGGUCCUCCAACUUCAUGUGGUGGUGUCUGCUUGGGCUGGUGACGUCUAAGAUGGCUUCUUACUCACCUACUGGAAGCUUCUACGUGGAGGGUGGAAUAUAAUACAGUAUUUUUAGAGUGACUGGACAUCUUCCAUGGUAGGUUGGCCUCUCAUAGGGAAUAAGCAGAAGCUGCUAGUUCUCCUAAAGGCUAAGGGUGGACCUACCAGAAGCAUAUGUCCACCAAGGCAUUUCCCAAGGCCAGCCCAGAUUCAAAGGGAAAUAAACUCCAUGU